GACGAACGCUGGCGGCGUGCUUAACACAUGCAAGUCGAACGGAAAGGCCCUGCGUUUGUGGGGUGCUCGAGUGGCGAACGGGUGAGUAACACGUGAGUAACCUGCUCUUGACUUUGGGAUAACUUCAGGAAACUGGGGCUAAUACCGGAUAGGAGCUCCUGCUGCAUGGUGGGGGUUGGAAAGUUUCGGCGGUUGGGGAUGGACGCGCGGCUUAUCAGCUUGUUGGUGGGGUAGUGGCUUACCAAGGCUUUGACGGGUAGCCGGCCUGAGAGGGUGACCGGCCACAUUGGGACUGAGAUACGGCCCAGACUCCUACGGGAGGCAGCAGUGGGGAAUAUUGCACAAUGGGCGGAAGCCUGAUGCAGCAACGCCGCGUGCGGGAUGACGGCCUUCGGGUUGUAAACCGCUUUCGCCUGUGACGAAGCGUGAGUGACGGUAAUGGGUAAAGAAGCACCGGCUAACUACGUG
rnacentral:rRNA from 1 species